GACGAACGCUGGCGGCGUGCCUAAUACAUGCAAGUCGAACGCAGUGGGGACGGGUGAGUAACACGUGGGUAACCUCCCAUCAGAGGUGAUAACACUUGGAUACAGGUGCUAAACCGAUACCGAUGGAUGGACCCGCGGUGCAUUAGCUAGUUGGUGAGGUAACGGCUCACCAAGGCCACGAUGCAUAGCCGACCAGGGAGGGUGAUCAGCAAGGCUAUGACUGAUCCACGACCCAGAAACCUACGGGAAGAAGGAGUAAGGAAUCUUAGGCAAAGAAGGGAAGUCAGACAGAGCAACGCCGCGUAAGUGAAGAAUGUUUACGGUUCGGAAAACUCUGUUGUUAGCGCAACGGGAUCUAACCAGAAAGCCACGACUAACAACGGGCCAGACGCCGCGGAAAUAC
rnacentral:rRNA from 1 species